UCUCCGUUGGUGAACCAGCGGAGGGAUCAUUACAGGACUCGCAAGACUCCUACAACCCUGUGAACUUAACUAUAAGCACGUUGCUUCGGCGGGUGUCUCGGAGGGGGUUCUCCCUCCCCGAGACGCUAAACCCGCCGGCAGCCUACUAUACUCUGUCUCUUUGCGUUGGCAUCUCGAGUACAAUCAAACAAGUUAAAACUUUCAACAACGGAUCUCUUGGUUCUGGCAUCGAUGGAGAACGCAGC
rnacentral:misc_RNA from 1 species